UAAGUAAGCGGAGGAUAAGAAACUAAAUAGGAUUCCCUCAGUAAUGGCGAAUGAACAGGGAUGAGCUCAGCAUGGAAAUCGGGGCCUGUGGCCUUGAAUUGUAGUCUCGAGAAGCAUUGCCAACGGAGGCGCAGAUGUAAGCCUCUUGGAAAAGAGCAUCGACGAGGGUGAGAGUCCCGUUUGUCAUCUGCAGUCCCCCGUGCACGGUGUGCUUUCUAAAGAGUCACGUUCCUCGGGAUUGGAGCGCAAAGUGGGUGGUAAAUUUCAUCUAAAGCUAAAUAUAGGUUUGAGACCGAUAGCAAACAAGUACCAUGAGGGAAAGGUGAAAAGGACUUUGAAAAGAGAGUUAAAAGUGCCUGAAAUUGCUGAAAGGGAAGCGAAUGGAACCAGUGUUGCUUGGCAAGAUUGGUGCGUGCUAAUGUGAUUGGCUGCUGCUUCAGCGCAAGCGUGGCAGUGGUUUUUGAUCAGGACGUGCGUGUUGUUUCUUGCCUUGUGUGUCAACGUCAGUUCUCAAUCGAGGAAAACGCCAGGGAAAUGGGAGCCUGGGUCCGCUUGGGUGAACGUCCUUGGUUGAACUCAUUUGUGAACUGUUUCUUGCGUGUCUGGUUGCAGUGCUCUCUGUCCCUGGGACUCCAAUGUGGGCUUCGGUCUGCUUGGGCGUCUUGGGCGACUGGGGUAUCUCCCUGACACAACGACGAUGACUAAAUGGUUCUAUUCGACCCG
rnacentral:rRNA from 1 species